UACGGAGGAUGCAAGCGUUAUCCGGAUUGAUUGGGCGUAAAGCGUCUGUAGGUGGCUUUUUAAGUCCGCCGUCAAAUCCCAGGGCUCAACCCUGGACAGGCGGUGGAAACUACCAAGCUGGAGUACGGUAGGGGCAGAGGGAAUUUCCGGUGGAGCGGUGAAAUGCGCAGAUAUCAGGAGGAACACCAACGGCGAAAGCACUCUGCUGGGCCGACACUGACACUGAGAGACGAAAGCUAGGGGAGCGAAUGGG
rnacentral:rRNA from 1 species